UAAACGGUGUCGUUUGUUCGACCCGCGAAAAAACUAGAGAGCGAUGAAAAAGAUGACUGGGGAGCCAAAUUCGACAAGGUGAGUGACGACUCGGUGGACACCUAAGGCCCUGAGGAGGAUCCGGUUAACCGGAUAUUUCCUGCUCAUCUGAAAAUCGGCAUUGGUUAACCGAGUGGUCAAGUUCCGGUCGUCUUCCCGUAAACGGUAAACCCUAGGCGAUUGGGAUUUCUCUUUCUGAAAGGUUCCGGCGAUGGGAAUAAAAGGAAAUCAAAUGGUUAACCUAUCGAUGGAAGACGAAGAUGACGAUACCUCUGCGUAUAACUUAAGGUCAUCGCGGUCUAAUGCCAAGUCGAAAUCUGGUGCUAGUACCAGAACCACGAAUCCUAGACCGACCAAGAGAGCUCGACUCUCGGGUGCUACUACAGAGUCGAGUCAUGUUGAUGAGAUUAGUUUGUCUUUCCAAGGUUUCGAUGAAGCUUUAAGCGUCUUCAAGGAUUCUUCCGGUUAUCAAAGGACCAACAAUACGGAUUUAUGGGUUGACAAAUACAGCCCUCGCACCUUGGAAGAGCUUGCUGUUCACAAGAAGAAGGUUGAAGAAGUUAAAUUGUGGUUUGAGAAGAGUUUGGAUUUCUCAAAGCAGGAUGGUUUUGGGAAUAGCAAUGUUCUACUACUCAAAGGGCAAGCUGGAGUCGGAAAAUCUGCUACUAUCCAUUUGAUUUCUUCUAUCCUUGGAGUCACUGUGUAUGAGUGGAACGCUCCUAUUCCUACAAUCUGGCAGGAACAUGUGCACAACUCAAGUUCAGGACUGAAGUACACGUCGAAGCUGGAUGAGUUUGAAAACUUUGUUGAGAGUACUAGGAAAUACGGAGUGAUGGCUUCAUCAAGUACUGAGGGAAUGAAGGAGCCUGUUCUUCUUUUGAUUGAUGACCUUCCUCUAGCCAAUGGGAGGCAUGCAUUUGAAAGGCUACACAACUGCUUAACUCUCUUGGUGAGAUCAACGCAGAUUCCAACUGUGGUAUUAAUCACUGACUACGAUAAAGGCGACUCUUCUGACCAGACUGCGCGAAGCAUGGAGGACCUUCAGUCAUCUCUUGAGCGAGCAGGGGCUUUAAAGGUCGCUUUCAAUCCCAUUACGAAGAACUCAAUUAAAAAGGCACUUCAGAGAAUAUGUAGGGAAGAGCACUGUAAGGUAACGACUAUGGAGAUUGAUCAGAUGGCGAGUGCCAGUGGAGGCGACAUCAGACAUGCUAUUACAUCUUUGCAACUCUUCUCCGUUAAGCCAGACCUAAAUCAUACUAAGAUAAAAUCACCUCGGCCUGGCAUGGAUGACACUUGUUAUGGAAACGAGCAGACAAUGUACAGUGUUUUGGAUAGUGGAAUAUCUUCCUGUUUUGGUAGAGAUGAGACCCUUUCGUUGUUUCACGCUCUGGGCAAGUUUCUCCACAACAAAAGAGAGACUGAUAAUGUCAUUGUAUCAGAUUGCAGCGACUCUCAUGUGCAUGACCAGUUUGCAAGGUUGCCACUGAAAAUGGAUGCGCCGGAAAAGGUUCUCAGCCAAGCUCAUGGACAGGCAGGAAGGGUUGUGGAUUUUCUGCAUGAAAAUGUGCUAGAUUUUGUGAGUGAAAGUGCCAUUGAAGAUGCAUGGUGUGUUUCUUCGUAUUUGGCGGAUGCUGAUCUCCUUCUCGCAGAUAUAAGAGGAAAGAUGAGUGGACAUAACAAAACAGAGGACGUGCUUCAGUCAGCUGGUGCCUCGGUUGCUAUUCGUGGUGUGUUGUAUGGAAACAAGCAGCCAUGGUCAUCCAGAUGGCACGUAAUUCGGAAGCCAAAACUCUGGCAAGUGGAGCAAUCCUCAAUACAAACUAAGAAGAAUCUGAGAGAGCAGAGGAACAUAGGCUAUGAGGGCGCUAGAAUGACAGAUAUAUCAGUGAUGGCCACAGAUUACUGCCCGGUACUGAAAUGGCUAAGCUACAGGACAUCUCCAGAUGCGUGUGCAGGAAUGAUCGAAGAGACGGAUGAGGAAGAGAGUGAAAUUUCUGAAGAUGAUGAAAUACAAGACUGGUGACGUUUACUAUCUUCAGGCUCUUAUAUGUUAGGUUCAAUGAAACUGCAUUAAAUUGGGUUCAAGUUCCUUACCGAAAAGGUGGUUGAGUUGAACAAUAUUGAGAAACAGAAGCAGCGAUCAAUUAUUGGUUAGGUCACAACACCAGUCCUUCUCAAGCCCAAAGUUACAUUCACACCUCACAAAGCAGCUUGUCUAAACAACAAGCAAGGCUUUGCCUUCAUGUUAUUACAACAAUUGCCGGACGACGACGGAGGGCUUUUUAGGAACUGAAAGAGAGUUUCAACGGCUGCAAAAUUUGGAAGAGGAAACGAGUUCAAUGCUGCCCGCCCGGUCAAGAAUUUAUUACCUACUUUGUUUGUUUUUUUGACAUAUGUCGAAAACCGUUUAUAGCCAAUACAUGUUCAUUGAUGAUAC